CUCUCUGUUCCUGGCCUCACAUUCCACAGUGUACCACAACAGUAGCCAGAAGCAGCACUGGACUUUCUCUAGUGAGGAGCAUUUGGCACGAUUGUGGGCCAAUGCCAACCGCAAAUUCAAAUACAAGGCGGUGGCGAAUGGGAAGGUUCUUCCAAAUGAUCCAGUCUUCCUUGAGCCUCAUGAAGAAAUGACACUCUGCAAAUACUAUGAGAAAAGAUUAUUGGAAUUCUGUUCUGUGUUCAAGCCAGCAAUGCCAAGGUCUGUUGUGGCUCACUUGUGCAUUUUUGGCCUGCAAAGUAGAUGAAUUCAAUGUUUCUUUUUUUUUUUUACCUCAAGUCCUUUGGGAGAGUCCUCUUGGACAGGAGAAGGCACUUGAACAGAUUUUGGAAUAUGAACUGCUACUUACCCAGCAACUUAAUUUCCACCUUAUUGUCCAUAAUACUUACAGACCAUUUGAGGGCUUCCUCAUCGAUUUAAAGACUUGCUAUCCCAUGUUGGAGAAUCCAGAGAUUUUGAGGAAAACAGCUGAUGACUUUCUUAAUAGAAUUGCCUUGACAGAUGCAUACCUUUUAUACACACCUUCCCAAAUUGCCCUCACUGCCAUUUUAUCUAGUGCCUCUAGGGCUGGAAUUACUAUGGAAAGUAAUUUAUCAGAGAGUCUGAUGUUAAGAGAGAAUGGAUAUAACGAAAAGCCUGAGAAACUUAGUGAAGGAGUAUGAACCACCCAGAUCUGAAGAAGUCGCUGUUCUGAAACAGAAGUUAGAGCACUGCAAUUCUGUUGAGCUUGCACUUCAUGUAACUACGAAGAAGAGGAAAGGCUAUGAAGAUGAUGAUGAUGUCUCAAAGAAAUCCAAACACGAGGAGGAAGAAUGGACUGACGAUGACCUGGUAGAUUCCCCUUAACCAUUUGAAGUUGAAUUGUCAAUGCUGAUCAAGAGUAGGAAGAGUAUUGGACACUUCACUUUAUUUGAAAAUUAUAAU